GCUUACGCCAUACCACCCUGAACACGCCCGAUCUCGUCAGAUCUCGGAAGCUAAGCAGGUCGGCCUGGUUAGUACUUGGAUGGAGACCGCCUGGGAAUACCAGGUGCUGUAAGCU
rnacentral:rRNA from 1 species